AUUGAACGCUGGCGGCAUGCUUUACGCAUGCAAGUCGAACGGUAACAGGGUGCUUGCACCGCUGACGAGUGGUGAACGGGUGAGUAAUGCGUCGGAACGUGCCGAGUAGUGGGGGAUAACGCAUCGAAAGGUGUGCUAAUACCGCAUACGUACUGGGGUAGAAAGUGGGGGACCUUCGGGCCUCACGCUAUUCGAGCGGCCGACGUCUGAUUAGCUAGUUGGUGAGGUAAAGGCUCACCAAGGCGACGAUCAGUAGCGGGUCUGAGAGGAUGAUCCGCCACACUGGGGCUGAGACACGGCCCAGACUCCUACGGGAGGCAGCAGUGGGGAAUUUUGGACAAUGGGCGCAAGCCUGAUCCAGCCAUGCCGCGUGUCUGAAGAAGGCCUUCGGGUUGUAAAGGACUUUUGUCCGGGAGCAAAUACCCAGUGCUAAUAACGCUGGGGGCUGAGAGUACCGGAAGAAUAAGCACCGGCUAACUACGUGCCAGCCGCCGCAGUAA
rnacentral:rRNA from 1 species